UCAAAGUGAGAGUCAGCAACCCCUGGCCUGGGAAUCUACCUCGUGUCUCCAAAACAGGCGAGCCCUUGCCUACCCUCCCCCUUCUUCCUCCCUUUUUAUUUGCAGCCCCUCACUGCCUUGUCCCAGGAGAAAGGGAGAAGCUGGGAGCAAGGUGGGGGGCGGCCCCCUCCCCCAACCCUGGCAGGAGGAGGGGUCCCCAGGGAGGCCAGGAGGGGGGGCUGUGGGUCUCCCGGCAGGGACGGACGGGGACUGAAUGUUAAUCGCAUCCCAAGUGAGUGUGUGUGUGCGAGAACAGAGCGAGUGUGCGAGUCCCUCCCGCUCGGCUCCUCCAAGCCGCGGCCGCCGCCGCCGCCACCCUCCGCCCGCAGCCUUCUCGGCCACCGGCGCCCAGCUGGGGGGUGUCGGCCUGGGUGGGUCCGCCCGGCCCCCAGGGGUCUCUCGUGUGACUGCCAUCUGCCCGCGCAACAUGUGUAGCCUCGUCCUCGCCUAGUCCUGGUGGCCGCAACCUUGGGGAACAGACAGGGCAGGUCUGGACCAAGGAAGAGGAGGGAGAGACGGAGCCAGGAACAGGCAAGAGGUCCCCACCGCCGCAGCUACCGCUACCGCCGCUGCUGUUGCUGCCGCCGCCCCGGGGCCUGACCCCCCCCACCCCAUCGGCUCCCUGAGCCCUGCGCGGAAUCUUCGGGUCGCUGGACGCCGGCUCCGGUCCUGGCACCCCCGCAAUCCCCCCAACAGAACAGGGUCAUGAAAAGGUCCCCUCCAUCCCUGCCUUCUCUUUCUCUUUCCUUACCUAUCUUCCCCUGACCCCAUUACCACCCCACUCUCCCCGUGUCUCCCUGAUGCCACAUUCCAACUGAACCACUCUCCCUCUGUUUUGGGGCUCCCUUCCACCUCCCUCCACUCUCUUUCCCUCUGACCCUCUCCUUCUGUGUCUCUCCCUUGGUCUCUGCGUCUCUGUCUCCCUCCUACUACUUCUGUGUCUCUCCUUCUGUCUGUCCCUUCCUCUUCCUCUGUCCUUAUCCUCAUCUCUGUCUCUCUCCUUCCCUCUCCUCGCUGUCUCUGCUUCUCUCCCUCUCCGUAACUUCUCUUCUGUGGCUCUAUCUUGUGUCCCUUCUCUGCACUUGCCCCUCUCCUCUUGUGUCCCUCCCUGGCCCGUGC